UGUCGAUGAAGAGCGCAGCAAACUGUGUGAAUUAAUGUGAACUGCAACCUGCCAUGAACAUCGACAACUUGAUUGCAUAUGCGGCCAUGGGUUAGCCUGUGGCCACGCCUGUCCGAGAGUC
rnacentral:rRNA from 1 species